ACCUUGCCAAUAUCGAUCAAAACAAAAACAAGCAUGCAAAAGGAUAGAAUUUUAUACUUUCAUCAAAAUAAAAAAGUGACAUAUUGGUGAUCUCCAUGAGACUCCAAAGUAAAAGCCCUCCAAUGGUGAUCCACACAGAAGUUGACCAAGGUCCUUCCUAAUCGGUGCGCUGCCGUAGUCUUGUCUUCUCAAGAACACUAUCGGUUUCGAACUCAAGGAACAAUCAUGCCAAAGCUCAGUCACCUCCAAACUUAUCACCAGAAUUACAUCAAGAAGAUACUCUUCAAAUAUCUCACAAUCUA
rnacentral:lncRNA from 1 species